rnacentral:rRNA from 1 species
GAUGAACGCUGGCGGCGUGCCUAAUACAUGCAAGUCGAGCGAACGGACGAGAAGCUUGCUUCUCUGAUGUUAGCGGCGGACGGGUGAGUAACACGUGGAUAACCUACCUAUAAGACUGGGUUAACUUCGGGAAACCGUAGCUAAUACCGGAUAAUAUUUUGAACCGCAUGGUUCAAAAGUGAAAGACGGUCUUGCUGUCACUUAUAGAUGGAUCCGCGCUGCAUUAGCUAGUUGGUAAGGUAACGGCUUACCAAGGCAACGAUGCAUAGCCGACCUGAGAGGGUGAUCGGCCACACUGGAACUGAGACACGGUCCAGACUCCUACGGGAGGCAGCAGUAGGGAAUCUUCCGCAAUGGGCGAAAGCCUGACGGAGCAACGCCGCGUGAGUGAUGAAGGUCUUCGGAUCGUAAAACUCUGUUAUUAGGGAAGAACAUAUGUGUAAGUAACUGUGCACAUCUUGACGGUACCUAAUCAGAAAGCCACGGCUAACUACGAG